AUGAAGCUGAACAACGAGACGGUCACCAUCGAGCUCAAGAACGGCACUACCGUCCACGGCACCAUCACCGGUGUUGACAUAAGCAUGAAUACUCAUCUGAAGACCGUAAAGCUCACAAUGAAAGGGAAGAAUCCUGUAACCCUUGAUCACAUCAGUGUGAGAGGAAACAACAUUCGGUACUACAUCCUCCCUGAUAGCUUAAACCUGGAAACGUUGCUGGUUGAGGAUACCCCCAGGGUCAAGUCUAAGAAGCCAACUACAGGGAAGCCUAUGGGUCGGGGUCGCGGACGCGGCCGUGGGCGUGGUCGGGGCCGGGGGCGCUGA
rnacentral:rRNA from 1 species